rnacentral:lncRNA from 1 species
CAAGAAUAUAAAUAGUAAUAAAUGCUGGUGAGGAUGUGGGGGAAAAGGAACAUUUAUACACCGUUGUGGAAUUGUGAAUUAGUAUAACACGAUGGAAAUCAGUAUGGUGGUUCCUCAAAAGACUAGGAACAGAAUCACCAUGUGACCCAACUAUACCACUCCCCGUUAUUUAUCCCAAAGAAUUGAAGUCAGCAUAGUAUAGCGAUGUACACAUAACUGUGUUUAUAGCAGCACGAUUCACAAUAGCCAGAUUAUAGAGCCUGUCAACAGAUACUGGAUAAAGAAAAUAUGGUAUAUGUAUGUAAUGGAGUUUUAUUCAGUCAUAAAGAAGAAGGAAAUUAUGUCAUUUGCAGGAAAAUGGUUGGAACUUGAGAUAUUAUGUUAAGUGAAAUCAGUAAAGUCUCAUUAAGUCUUUUCUGUCAUAUGUGGAAGCUAGAGAGAAAAAAGGAAAACAAAGGUUGGAGGAACUCAUGAAAUUAGAAGGGAGAACAGUAGAGUAGAGGAAGGGAACUAGGGGGAAAGAGGAGAAGAGGGAAAGGGGAGGUAUUGGGAAAUGAAACUGACCAAAUUAUAUUGUAUAUGUGUAAUAAUAUGUCAUAGUCAGUCCCACUAUUUGUAUAAUUAUAAUGCACAAUAAAAAAUUAAUUAAAAAAUAAAAACUAGGAUAGUGGCACCUGCCUGUAGUCCCAGCAUCCAGAAAGCUGAGGCAGGAUGGUUGCUUGAUCCCAGGGCUUUGAGGCUAGGCUGGCAACAUAGCAAGACCCUAUCUCAAAACAAACAAACAAACAAACAAACAUUAGUGAUAUACUAAUAUGGUCUUUUGGCUUUAAUGUCUUAGUGUAGAUAAUCAUCCACCUUUUUAGUUAGUUCAUUUGUUUAGUUUGAGACAAGUCUCAAGAAUUAUUUGAUGAAAGAAGAAGAAAACCAGUCUCCAGUCUGGCUCAAGCUUAUGAGCUCAAGUGACCCUCCCGUCUCAGCCUCCUUAAUAGCUAGGACUACAACUGCACACCACCACAUUCAGCUUCAGUCACCUUUUUCUAUCAGAAUGAGGCAUUUCCUUCAUAAUACCUAAGGAAGUCACAAAAUCACUGAAAAUAUACAUUGUGGUUUUGGGCUUAUUGUUGAAAGAGAUGUGUCUUAGAUGCCUCCGUUUAUUUUCAUAGGGCAAAAUUCCACAUGAGGAAGCAAUAUGAGCUGGAAUCCAUGCCCUUGAUUUGGAAAGCUUGCAAAUCAUUAACAACCUUUUAUUUUUCAAAAUAUUUUAGAAAAUUAUAAUCCUCAAUGCUGUGAAGGAAUCUUGAAAUUACAGGGAUAUAUUUAUAGUCUUCAUGGAUAUAUAUAUAUAUAUAUAUAUAUAUAUAUAUAUAUAGAG